rnacentral:rRNA from 1 species
UACGAAGGGGGCUAGCGUUGCUCGGAAUGACUGGGCGUAAAGGGCGCGUAGGCGGCUUACAUAGUUAGGCGUGAAAUUCCUGGGCUCAACCUGGUGACUGCGUCUAAUACAUGUAGGCUUGAAUGUGAAAGAGGGCCGUGGAAUUUCCAGUGUAGAGGUGAAAUUCGUAGAUAUUGGAAAGAACACCGGUGGCGAAGGCGGCGACCUGGUUCAUUACUGACGCUGAGGCGCGAAAGCGUGGGGAGCAAACAGG